AGUGAACGCUGGCGGCGUGCUUAACACAUGCAAGUCGAACGAGAACGGAUUAUAGCUUGCUAUAAUUGUCCGCUAAGUGGCGCACGGGUGAGUAAUGUAUAGGUAAUAUGCCUCUUACUAAGGGAUAACAAAUCGAAACGUUUGCUAAUACCUUAUACUCCUUAUUAACAGAAGUUAAUAAGGGAAAGAUUUAUUGGUAAGAGAUUAGUCUGUAUUGUAUCAGUUAGUUGGUGGGGUAAUGGCUUACCAAGACUAUGACACAUAACUGGUUUGAGAGGAUGAUCAGUCACACUGGAACUGAGACACGGUCCAGACUCCUACGGGAGGCAGCAGUGGGGAAUAUUGCACAAUGGACGAAAGUCUGAUGCAGCAACGCCGCGUGGAGGAUGACACAUUUCGGUGCGUAAACUCCUUUUAUAUGAGAAGAUAAUGACGGUAUUAUAUGAAUAAGCACCGGCUAACUCCGUGCCAGCCGCCGCUGUAACAC
rnacentral:rRNA from 1 species